rnacentral:rRNA from 1 species
GAUGAACGCUGGCGGCGUGCCUAAUACAUGCAAGUCGAGCGAACAGACGAGGAGCUUGCUCCUCUGACGUUAGCGGCGGACGGGUGAGUAACACGUGGAUAACCUACCUAUAAGACUGGGAUAACUUCGGGAAACCGGAGCUAAUACCGGAUAAUAUAUUGAACCGCAUGGUUCAAUAGUGAAAGACGGUUUUGCUGUCACUUAUAGAUGGAUCCGCGCCGCAUUAGCUAGUUGGUAAGGUAACGGCUUACCAAGGCAACGAUGCGUAGCCGACCUGAGGGGGUGAUCGGCCACACUGGAACUGAGACACGGUCCAGACUCCUACGGGAGGCAGCAGUAGGGAAUCUUCCGCAAUGGGCGAAAGCCUGACGGAGCAACGCCGCGUGAGUGAUGAAGGUCUUCGGAUCGUAAAACUCUGUUAUUAGGGAAGAACAAAUGUGUAAUUAACUAUGCACGUCUUGACGGUACCUAAUCAGAAAGCCACGGCUAACUACGUG